rnacentral:rRNA from 1 species
UACGAAGGGGGCUAGCGUUGCUCGGAAUCACUGGGCGUAAAGCGCACGUAGGCGGCUUGUUAAGUCAGAGGUGAAAUCCUGGAGCUCAACUCCAGAACUGCCUUUGAUACUGAAAGUCUUGAGUACGGGAGAGGUGAGUGGAACUGCGAGUGUAGAGGUGAAAUUCGUAGAUAUUCGCAAGAACACCAGUGGCGAAGGCGGCUCACUGGCCCGUAACUGACGCUGAGGCACGAAAGCGUGGGGAGCAAACAGG